CUUGAGUGCAGAAGAGGAGAGUGGAAUUCCACGUGUAGCGGUGAAAUGCGUAGAGAUGUGGAGGAACACCAGUGGCGAAGGCGACUCUCUGGUCUGUAACUGACGCUGAGGAGCGAAAGCGUGGGGAGCGAACAGGAUUAGAUACCCUGGUAGUCCACGCCGUAAACGAUGAGUGCUAAGUGUUAGGGGGUUUCCGCCCCUUAGUGCUGCAGCUAACGCAUUAAGCACUCCGCCUGGGGAGUACGGUCGCAAGACUGAAACUCAAAGGAAUUGACGGGGGCCCGCACAAGCGGUGGAGCAUGUGGUUUAAUUCGAAGCAACGCGAAGAACCUUACCAGGUCUUGACAUCCUCUGACAAUCCUAGAGAUAGGACGUCCCCUUCGGGGGCAGAGUGACAGGUGGUGCAUGGUUGUCGUCAGCUCGUGUCGUGAGAUGUUGGGUUAAGUCCCGCAACGAGCGCAACCCUUGAUCUUAGUUGCCAGCAUUCAGUUGGGCACUCUAAGGUGACUGCCGGUGACAAACCGGAGGAAGGUGGGGAUGACGUCAAAUCAUCAUGCCCCUUAUGACCUGGGCUACACACGUGCUACAAUGGACAGAACAAAGGGCAGC
rnacentral:rRNA from 1 species